rnacentral:rRNA from 1 species
CAUUACCGAGUUUACAACUCCCAAACCCAAUGUGAACGUUACCAAUCUGUUGCCUCGGCGGGAUUCUCUGCCCCGGGCGCGUCGCAGCCCCGGAUCCCAUGGCGCCCGCCGGAGGACCAACUCAAACUCUUUUUUCUCUCCGUCGUGGCCUACGUCGCGGCUCUGUUUUAUUUUUGCUCUGAGCCUUUCUCGGCGACCCUAGCGGGCGUCUCGAAAAUGAAUCAAAACUUUCAACAACGGAUCUCUUGGUUCUGGCAUCGAUGAAGAACGCAGCGAAAUGCGAUAAGUAAUGUGAAUUGCAGAAUUCAGUGAAUCAUCGAAUCUUUGAACGCACAUUGCGCCCGCCAGUAUUCUGGCGGGCAUGCCUGUCCGAGCGUCAUUUCAACCCUCGAACCCCUCCGGGGGGUCGGCGUUGGGGAUCGGCCCCUCACCGGGCCGCCCCCGAAAUACAGUGGCGGUCUCGCCGCAGCCUCUCCUGCGCAGUAGUUUGCACACUCGCACCGGGAGCGCGGCGCGGCCACAGCCGUAAAACACCCCAAACUCUGAAAUGUUGACCUCGGAUCAGGUAGGAAUACCCGCUGAACUUAAGCAUAUCAAUAA